CCUACGGGAGGCUGCAGUGGGGAAUAUUGGACAAUGGGCGAAAGCCUGAUCCAGCCAUGCCGCGUGUGUGAAGAAGGCCUUCGGGUUGUAAAGCACUUUCAGUGGGGAAGAAAGCCUUGGGGCUAAUACCCUCGAGGAAGGACAUCACCCACAGAAGAAGCACCGGCUAACUCCGUGCCAGCAGCCGCGGUAAUACGGAGGGUGCGAGCGUUAAUCGGAAUUACUGGGCGUAAAGCGCGCGUAGGCGGUCUGAUAAGCCGGUUGUGAAAGCCCCGGGCUCAACCUGGGAACGGCAUCCGGAACUGUCAGGCUAGAGUGCAGGAGAGGAAGGUAGAAUUCCCGGUGUAGCGGUGAAAUGCGUAGAGAUCGGGAGGAAUACCAGUGGCGAAGGCGGCCUUCUGGACUGACACUGACGCUGAGGUGCGAAAGCGUGGGUAGCAAACGGGAUUAGAUACCCCGGUAGUC
rnacentral:rRNA from 1 species